UGCUGGGUUAUUUUUUUGACCCAAUCGCUGGGUUGAGCCUGUUGGGUCAUUUAAUUGGGUUAUUUUUAAUUGAGUUGGGUAUUCUGAGAACCCAAUUCGCUGGGUUAUUUCUGUUGGGUGCUGAGUUAUUUGCUGCUGGGUUGUGAUUUCCAUUAUAUUGUGCUGGGUUAUUUUGGACAACACAAAGCGUUGGGUAGAAUUUUGAACACGAGCAACAAAGCCCCGCCCACAAACUUACUUCGUUCGGACCCCACAUUUCAUCUGAGGAGACGAAUUUCAGCACGGAGCAAGUUCGCUGGAAAGCAUCUAUGGAUGAGUUUGUCAGUUCCAAAUUUGACUGAGUGGCAGCUACCGGGGCUGAUUGAAAGAUGCCAGGGGAGAAGUCGCCCUGACGCUGCUGCCCAUCCUGCUCCCUCCGCCUGUGUUUAAAAAGGGCUGGAAAUUGGUCCGGGAUAGUAUUCAGGAGUCAAAGAGAGCCUUCAUCGAUGUUAAGCUGGUCAGAGCUAACAUGGUGGAAUCACCUACUCGGUUGUGCUGCUGCUCACAGAGCCUCUUGUUCUAUGUAUAUAUCACUCUCUCAUAGCUGUCCCCCUCACCCGUUCUUAAAAUGUUAUUUUUUUGUACAUAAUUUGUUCAUAUGUGAAGGAAAUGUUGUGAGUUGUUAUAUUUUUAUGUUCUGGAAAUGUUGAAUUUUAAUAAAAAUUUUAUUGUUACAUUGGUGUCAUUAUUGUAAUAUAUUAUUAAUAGUAUUAGCAUACAAUAAAAAAAUAAAAAAUAAAUAAAUAAAUAUAUAUAUAUAUGGUAUAUUGGCAACCCAACUUGCUGGGUUGAAAUAACCCAGCCGUGUAGUAAAUAUGAACCCAGCGUUGGGUCAUAUGAACAACCCAAUGUACAACCC